AAAGAAUUUACCACCAGUGGCACUCUUAAACGGCACGCAAGAAUUCACACUGGACUCAAGCCGUAUUGCUGUUCUGAAUGUGCUCACCAGGAUGAGAUCAAACACCUCCUUUUAUCUGCGACCCGGGAGCAAUUCUGGUGAUAGGGCGUAGCCCGCUGGAAGCACUUUCGGGUCACAUGGAAGUCGUUGAAAGUAAGGAUUGUGAAUCCCUGCAGCUUUACCAAGAUGGGUCCAGCUGCAGACCUCCACAGCUCCGCGAUUCAAUAGCUUCACUGGACAACCAAUUGGAUUGCAGGUUGAGAACCACUGGCCUCUGUUUUGUGUGCUGGGGGUCUAGGAAAGGUGUAAAGCACCUACUCAAAGCAUCAUGAUGUUCCAACAAUUAUGGAUGGAUC